rnacentral:rRNA from 1 species
AUUGAACGCUGGCGGCAUGCCUUACACAUGCAAGUCGAACGGCAGCACGGGUGCUUGCCCCUGGUGGCGAGUGGCGAACGGGUGAGUAAUACAUCGGAACAUGUCCUGUAGUGGGGGAUAGCCCGGCGAAAGCCGGAUUAAUACCGCAUACGAUCUACGGAUGAAAGCGGGGGACCUUCGGGCCUCGCGCUAUAGGGUUGGCCGAUGGCUGAUUAGCUAGUUGGUGGGGUAAAGGCCUACCAAGGCGACGAUCAGUAGCUGGUCUGAGAGGACGAGCAGCCACACUGGGACUGAGACACGGCCCAGACUCCUACGGGAGGCAGCAGUGGGGAAUUUUGGACAAUGGGCGAAAGCCUGAUCCAGCAAUGCCGCGUGUGUGAAGAAGGCCUUCGGGUUGUAAAGCACUUUUGUCCGGAAAGAAAUCCUUGGCCCUAAUACGGUCGGGGGAUGACGGUACCGGAAGAAUAAGCACCGGCUAACUACGUG